GCGGCAGGCUUAACACAUGCAAGUCGAACGCUGUAGCAAUACAGAGUGGCAGACGGGUGAGUAACGCGUGGGAACGUGCCUUUCGGUUCGGAAUAACUCAGGGAAACUUGAGCUAAUACCGGAUACGCCCUUCGGGGGAAAGAUUUAUUGCCGAAAGAUCGGCCCGCGUCCGAUUAGCUAGUUGGUGAGGUAAUGGCUCACCAAGGCGACGAUCGGUAGCUGGUCUGAGAGGAUGAUCAGCCACACUGGGACUGAGACACGGCCCAGACUCCUACGGGAGGCAGCAGUGGGGAAUAUUGGACAAUGGGCGCAAGCCUGAUCCAGCCAUGCCGCGUGAGUGAUGAAGGCCCUAGGGUUGUAAAGCUCUUUCGCCAGGGACGAUAAUGACGGUACCUGGAUAAGAAGCCCCGGCUAACUUCGUGCCA
rnacentral:rRNA from 1 species